rnacentral:rRNA from 1 species
UAAUACGUAGGGUGCAAGCGUUAAUCGGAAUUACUGGGCGUAAAGCGUGCGCAGGCGGUUUUGUAAGUCAGCUGUGAAAUCCCCGGGCUCAACCUGGGAAUGGCAGUUGAGACUGCAAGGCUGGAGUGUGUCAGAGGGGGGUAGAAUUCCACGUGUAGCAGUGAAAUGCGUAGAGAUGUGGAGGAAUACCGAUGGCGAAGGCAGCCCCCUGGGAUAACACUGACGCUCAUGCACGAAAGCGUGGGGAGCAAACAGGAUUAGAUACCCUGGUAGUCCACGCCCUAAACGAUGUCAACUAGUUGUCGGGACUUAAUUGUCUUGGUAACGCAGCUAACGCGUGAAGUUGACCGCCUGGGGAGUACGGUCGCAAGAUUA